rnacentral:rRNA from 2 species
GGCCACGCCCGAAGUCAUUACUCUAACCCGAAAGGGAGGGGGAUGCCGAAGGUAGGGCUGAUGACUGGGGUGAAGUCGUAACAAGGUAGCCGUACCGGAAGGUGUGGCUGGAUCACCUCCUUU